AUCAAAUGGGCCUGGCUUUGCAUUUGGAGAUAGGGCCUUCAGGCCCAAUUAGCGGUCGCAAUAACCCGAGGCCCAUACGGAAUUACUUCUCCAUCGAGGCACAAACCGCCAAGAAGUUGAAUAGUUCCCUCUAGCGAACCGGGAUCGUCUUCAGAACAGAAGACGAUUUCCUCUACAAUUUCAACUAUUCGAUUAAUUUUUUUCUUGUUUCAGAAGUCAAAAUCAUUCUGCAAAGAGAUUCUACAAUUCAACAUCAAUGGCGAGCGGUAAUCAUAGCGUGCUCCGAAAACGAUUAGGUGUAGUGGACGUCUGACACGUGUUUGUGAAAUUUUCUCACCGAGCUUUGAUGAACAACGGCGAAUUUGACGUGGACAAAAUGGCGUUCAAGAUUGCUGUCGCUAAUGGAGUUCAAUUAAUAUGUUAACCGCAAGCCAGAAAGUUGGGGAACAAUCGUAUUGGUGCUGCAAUAUCGGUACGCUAGGCCUGCUUUCUUAUCCUUAGCACUGCCGGAUCAUGUCGACCAUGGAAGCUACAUAAACGAACUUCGUGACCUUUAUAUCCUUAGCAUUGUCCAAUAUAUGGUGGAUGUUUCCCGGCGUCUCGUCAAACAGUCAAAUUCAUCAAUGGGAGCUGAAAAGCAAACAGCAUUAUAGUUUGCGUUUAAGCAACAGCAAUUAUGAGAUUGACUGGGGUCGGAAAAUUCACUUGUCCACGACGCGAUUCAGAAUUUUAACAGCCAAUUUAGAAAUAUAUGACGUCGUUUCAUUACUUCAUCAUCAUCGUCGUGGAAAUGAAGUUUGAUUGGUGAGGUAGAAUCUUCCCUUGGUGGUCCAUGUUGUAAAGUAUGCGCGCCACUACUUUUGCACGCUAGGUGUUUGAUGAAACGCCUCUGAAUAAUUUGGUUACCCCCCGGCAUGGUUCUUUCAUUUUUUUAAUGCGAAAAGUCUCCACUAAUCAUAAGAUUGAAUUAUCUCCUCUGACCGGUCAGUAAUCUCUAUUAUAGGUUGUAGGCUCGAGUUCCACUUAUUGUUUGAAUUGUAAUAAAAGGAAAAAUUAUCUCUACUCAGCAUCACGCAUGUUUUGGUUCCAUAUGAUACAAUUACUUCAAAAUUUGUGCACUAAGAGUCAAAAUCAGACCAAAAAUUUUACUUUUUAUUACAACUUAACAUCUUUAUCCUAACCACCCAUUUGCACCCCAUGGGGAAGUAAGCUGAUUUGCACAACUUUUUGAAUUCUGUUUGGAUACUUAUUGCAAAGAGUCAUCGAAAUUUUAGUCCAAUAAUGAUUAAAAGUUAUUAUUAAAUGAAACUGUUUGUCAAGUUUGCUUUCUGUUGGCAGAAAUGUUGGACUAAAACUCCAAUGGCACAGGUUCAGCCCCUGGAAAUUGGUUGAAGGGUCAGCAAUCGGAGGACAUAAAGGCGCUGAUCUUAAACGACAAUUCAUUAGAUUAAGUCUAAAGAGUCUGCAGAAGAAGCAUAAAGCCAUGCUGUUCUCUAAUUGUUUGACAUUAUUUUGCUGCCUUACUUGCACACAGGGGAAGGAAUCAAUGGGCAGCUGGAUUCAACGUUUAAUUACUUUUGCCCGUUUUAAUUUGAAACAAGAAGAAUGCCAUCCCCUGAAAUGGAUGACAGUAAUCCAGGUUGGAUAGUCAACUUUCUACACUCGUUUUUGGUUGAGUUGUUCCGUAAGAUCCUUAGCUUGACGAGAAGUUCUUUGAAGUUUGAACCGGGAAUGAAGAGUAAGAAUUCAUAUUUAGUAAUGGGAUUUCUUUCAACUACUACUUCGUAAAACAAUUUUGAAUGAUUGUUAUCUUGAAAAUACACCCAAUAUUGUUGUUAGUUUUAUAAAUUAUAUUAGAUGGUGCAAGUAAAAAAAAAUUGGAGAGCUGUAAAUCCAAAUUUGGACAACUUUCUGUUAGAUAUUUUUGUUUAGAAUUGCUCUGUGUACGAUAACCAUGAAGAAGGAAGAAACAAGCUAGUGCAAUCUUGGUAUAUUCCGGAUUCUAAGUUAUAUCACAUGACAAAGUAUACGAGUUUGUUCCUUUCUCGAAAACAGAGCUUAUCAUCAUGUGUCGAAGCAAAUUGAUACUUGAUAGGAGCAUUUUUUUACGUCAGCAAGUAAAAAAGUAUUUUCAGAAAAGGAAAAAGGAAACCCAUAAAUUUGGCUAUGUCCCCACCAUAACUGAAGAUCUAGGCUUGGAAAUGAAAUGACUAUAAUGUCCAACAUUGUAUAUAUAUGAUGAUGAUGAUAUGAAGAAUAUGGGAGUUGUAUUGUUGUAUAUCAGCCAUGCAUUUGCAUGUACGAAAUACACUGUGGCUGUAGCGCACGUUUCAUUUUGUUGUCUCAAUGGCCACACACACAUCCACACCCACACCACACAUGGGGCUGGUCUAUUACUGUGCCUCCAUAUGCCUCUUCCAUUUUUUUCGUUAUAAUUUUCUAUCAUUCGAAAGGGAAAUUUCAUCCAUUGAAAUGACACCAAGUUCAAUAUUCCCCCCUCCCCACAGAAAAAAAGAAAAAAGAAAAAAGAAAAAAA